rnacentral:rRNA from 1 species
GGUUGCGAACAUAUCAACACUAAUGCACCGGAUCUCAUCAGAACUUCGUGCGAGAGUAGUACUAGGAUGGUUGACCCCCUGGGAAGUCCUCGUGUUGCAACCC